rnacentral:tRNA from 1 species
AGUUUUAUAGUUUAUUCAGAACUUUAAAUUGCAAAUUUAAGGGAGGGAGUAGGUGCCCUAAGGCUU